AGGUCGGUGCGCCGAGUCUGGUCAAAGGCAGGGCACUUAAGAUGCCCCGAUUAGUUCUUCACAGGUUCAAAUCCUGUCCGGCCUA
rnacentral:tRNA from 1 species